rnacentral:rRNA from 1 species
AGUCACUGACAUUAGAUACCCCCGUAGUCCAGGGUGUAAACGCUGCAGACUUGGUGUUGGAAGCCCUUUGGGGGCAUUCAGUGCCGGAGAGAAGUUGUUAAGUCUGCUACUUGGGGAGUACGUCCGCAAGGAUGAAACUUAAAGGAAUUGGCGGGGGAGCACCACAACGGGUGGAGCCUGCGGUUUAAUUGGACUCAACGCCGGAAAUCUCACCGGAUAGGACAGACAUAUGAUAGUCGGGCUGAAGACUCUACUUGAUGAUCUG